UUUCUGUGAAGAGUUUGAUCCUGGCUCAGGAUGAACGCUAGCGGUGCGCCUAAUACAUGCAAGUCGAGCGGUAACAGGGAGAGCUUGCUCUCUGCUGACGAGCGGCGGACGGCUGAGUAACACGUUGGAACCUACCCCAGACUCAGGGAUAACCUACCGAAAGGUAGACUAAUACCGGAUAGUCUCGUAAGAGUAAAGCUUUUGCGGUCUGGGAGGGGCCUGCGUCCUAUCAGCUAGUUGGUGAGGUAAAAGCUCACCAAGGCUAUGACGGGUAGCUGAUGUGAGAGCAUGAUCAGCCAGAAUGGAACUGAGACACGGUCCAUACUCCUACGGGAGGCAGCAGUAAGGAAUCUUCCGCAAUGGACGAAAGUCUGACGGAGCGACACCGCGUGCAGGAUGACACCCCUUGGGGCGUAAACUGCUUUUCUGAGGGAUGAAAUUUUGACAUUACCUCAGGAAUAAGCGCCGGCUAACUACGUGCCAGCAGCCGCGGUAAUACGUAGGGCGCGAGCGUUAUCCGGAAUCAUUGGGCGUAAAGCGUCCGCAGCCGGAUUUAUAAGUCUGAUAUAAAAUCUCGGGGCUCAACCCCGAAACUGUAUUAGAAACUGUAAAUCUAGAGUAAUUUAGAGGCACAUGGAAUUCGUGGUGUAGGGGUUAAAUCCGUUGAUACCACGAGGAACACCAAAAGCGAAGGCAGUGUGCUGGGAAUUUACUGACGGUCAGGGACGAAAGCGUGGGGAGCGAAAAGGAUUAGAUACCCUUGUAGUCCACGCCGUAAACGAUGGAUACUCGACGUUCUGGAGAUUCGACCCUCUGGAGUGUCUAAGCUAACGCGUUAAGUAUCCCGCCUGGGGAGUACGGCCGCAAGGUUAAAACUCAAAGGAAUAGACGGGGACCCCCACAAGCGGUGGAGCAUGUGGUUUAAUUCGACAAUACGCGGAGAACCUUACCAGGGCUUGACAUCCCGAGAAUCUCUCAGAAACGAGAGAGUGCCGCAAGGAACUCGGUGACAGGUGCUGCAUGGUUGUCGUCAGCUCGUGCCUUGAGGUGUACGGUUAAGUCCGUUAACGAGCGCAACCCUUAUCUUAUGUUGUAUAUUUCAUGAGAGACUGCCCGGUACAACCGGGAGGAAGGUGAGGAUGACGUCAAAUCAGCAUGGCCCUUAUGUCCUGGGCUACACACGUGCUACAAUGGAAUGUACAAAGUGCAGCGAAGCGGUAACGUGGAGCGAAUCACAAAAACAUUUCUAAGUUCGAAUUGAGGGCUGCAACUCGCCCUCAUGAAGUUGGAAUCGCUAGUAAUCGUGAAUCAGCUACGUCACGGUGAAUGUGUUCCGGGGUCUUGUACUCACCGCCCGUCAAGUCACGAAAGGAGGGAGUGCCCGAAGUCGUGUUAUCCUUUCGAGGAGCAUGCCUAAGGUAAAACUUCUGAUUGGGGCUAAGUCGUAACAAGGUAUCCGUAGGAGAACCUGCGGAUGGAUCACCUCCCUA
rnacentral:rRNA from 1 species